rnacentral:lncRNA from 1 species
CUUCGUACUUUUUGUUCAGAAUUUAAAGAAAAUAUUUUUCACAUUUUUUGGGAAUGUAAUGUAUCACAAAACUUCUGGCUAUCCGUUAUAGAUUGGAUUAAAAAUUAAGGCAUUCUCCUGCCUUUCAGUGCAAAAGAAGUCAUGUUAGGUGUGUCUGAGGAUUUUGUUAACAGUAAAACAGUUAACAAUAUUUUGUUGUUAUUCAAAUACUAUAUAUACAAAUGUAGAUGUAAGAACAUAUCCCCCACAAAAUAUGGUGGGGUAGAAUAUUUAAAAUAUUGGAUUAAUAUAGAAAAAUACUCUGUAUGUUUCUUAACCCCUGUACAAAAAGUAAAAAU